UGGGGAAUAUUGGUCAAUGGGCGCAAGCCUGAACCAGCCAUGCCGCGUGGAGGACGAAGGCCUUCGGGUUGUAAACUCCUUUUCUGAGGGAAGAAUCGUCGAGAGAGGAAAUGCUCUCGGCUUGACGGUACCUCAGGAAUAAGCAACGGCUAACUCCGUGCCAGCAGCCGCGGUAAUACGGAGGUUGCAAGCGUUGUUCGGAAUUACUGGGCGUAAAGGGAGCGCAGGCGGUUAGGUCAGUCUGAAGUGAAAGCCCGGGGCUCAACCCCGGAAGUGCUCUGGAUACUGCCUAACUUGAGUACGUGAGAGGAGAGCGGAAUUCCAGGUGUAGCGGUGAAAUGCAUAGAUAUCUGGAGGAACACCGGUGGCGAAAGCGGCUCUCUGGCACGCUACUGACGCUGAGGCUCGAAAGCGUGGGGAGCGAACGGG
rnacentral:rRNA from 1 species